AGUGAACGCUGGCGGUAGGCCUAACACAUGCAAGUCGAACGGCAGCACAGUAAGAGCUUGCUCUUACGGGUGGCGAGUGGCGGACGGGUGAGGAAUACAUCGGAAUCUACUUUUUCGUGGGGGAUAACGUAGGGAAACUUACGCUAAUACCGCAUACGACCUACGGGUGAAAGCAGGGGAUCUUCGGACCUUGCGCGAUUGAAUGAGCCGAUGUCGGAUUAGCUAGUUGGCGGGGUAAAGGCCCACCACGGCGACGAUCCGUAGCUGGUCUGAGAGGAUGAUCAGCCACACUGGAACUGAGACACGGUCCAGACUCCUACGGGAGGCAGCAGUGGGGAAUAUUGGACAAUGGGCGAGAGCCUGAUCCAGCCAUACCGCGUGGGUGAAGAAGGCCUUCGGGUUGUAAAGCCCUUUUGUUGGGAAAGAAAAGCAGCAGGUUAAUACCCCGCUGUUCUGACGGUACCCAAAGAAUAAGCACCGGCUAACUUCGUG
rnacentral:rRNA from 1 species